rnacentral:ncRNA from 1 species
CAGAGUAGAAGAAUACGCGUGAAGUGCCUGCCGUACGGGGAGUUGACGGCAAGACGAAAGGGAUGCGCGCACCUGUAUAUUCUUUAUAAUCCGACACAUUAGUCAGAGAUAAAGAAAAAGGCACAUGUGCCCCUGCGGUGUAUUCUUUGCAUCCCGCUGU